CCUACGGGAGGCAGCAGUGGGGAAUAUUCGGCAAUGGGCGCAAGCCUGACCCAGCAACGCCGCGUGAAGGAAGAAGGCUUUCGGGUUGUAAACUUCUGUUGUCAGGGACGAAGCAAGUGACGGUACCUGACGAAUAAGCCACGGCUAACUACCUGCCAGCAGCCGCGGUAAUACGUAGGUGGCAAUCGUUAUCCGGAUUGACUGGGUGUAAAGGGCGUGUAGGCGGGGCUGGAAGUCAGAUGUGAAAACCACGGGCUUAACCUGUGGACUGCAUUUGAAACUUUAGUUCUUGGGUACUGGAGAGGGAGAGGGAAUUCAUGGUGUAGCGGUGAAAUGGGUAGAGAAUAGGAGGAAAACCAGGGGCGAAGGCGGUCUGCGGGACAGCAACUGACGCUGGGGCGGGAAAGCGGGGGGAGCAAACAGGAUUAGAUACCCUGUAGUC
rnacentral:rRNA from 1 species